ACAGCUCUCUCUCUCUCUCUCUCUGUCAGCUUUUCCUUGCCUAUUUUUCUGAACUGUUAUUCAUAAUUAAUUUACACAUUUUUGCUCUCUUUCUUCCUUUCUCUUUUUCAUCAUGGCAUAUUUUCAAAGCUCAGAAUUGAAUUUUGAUCGGUUAUGUCAAAAAGCUGCUAAUAUUAACAGCUAAAAAGGAAGACCAAAGGAAGGCCUGUCGAACUCUUGUCUUGUCUUGUUUGUGGAGAGGGAUGAAUUUGGCCAUCUUGUGUGUUUACGGAGAAGACCAAAAGCUGCAAAGGCAAACAUUUCCAAUGGAUUUCUCACAUACUACACCAUCAGCUCUCCACAAUAUCAGCCGUUUCAAAAGCUUCCACAUCUCUGUCUCUCUCUCUGCUCUCAGUCCUUUACUACCAACUUCCAGUCUUAGCAUGUCUACGUGUAUAAAUUUUUCCUCUUCAGUCAACACUCCCAUCUCUACUGUGAGCACUUCUGUCGCUAUCACUAUGACUUUUAUAAUUAUAAAAUU